rnacentral:rRNA from 1 species
GUAAUCGCAGAUCAGCAACGCUGCGGUGAAUACGUUCCCGGGCCUUGUACACACCGCCCGUCAAGUCACGAAAGUCGGUAACACCCGAAGCCGGUGGCCCAACCCUUGUGGAGGGAGCCGUCGAAGGUGGGACUGGCGAUUGGGACUAAGUCGUAACAAGGUAGCCGUACCGGAAGGUGCGGCUGGAUCACCUCCUUUCUAAGGAG